rnacentral:rRNA from 1 species
GACGAACGCUGGCGGCGUGCUUAACACAUGCAAGUCGAACGGAAAGGCCCUGCUUUUGUGGGAUGCUCGAGUGGCGAACGGGUGAGUAACACGUGAGUAACCUGCCCUUGACUUUGGGAUAACUUCAGGAAACUGGGGCUAAUACCGGAUAGGAGCUCCUGCUGCAUGGUGGGGGUUGGAAAGUUUCGGCGGUUGGGGAUGGACUCGCGGCUUAUCAGCUUGUUGGUGGGGUAGUGGCUUACCAAGGCUUUGACGGGUAGCCGGCCUGAGAGGGUGACCGGCCACAUUGGGAAUGAGAUACGGCCGAGCCUCCUACGGGAGGCAGCAGUGGGGAAUAUUGCACAAUGGGCGGAAGCCUGAUGCAGCAACGCCGCGUGCGGGAUGACGGCCUUCGGGUUGUAAACCGCUUUCGCCUGUGACGAAGCGUGAGUGACGGUAAUGGGUAAAGAAGCACCGGCUAACUACGUG